GUGAUCAUGUGACCUGAGAUAGUAAACACACGAUCACGGGAUACUUGAUCAGUAAAUUUUGUUCAAUUUCCAACAACUGUUUUCGUUAAUUUCUAUCGAGUCACACAGGUUGAAAUAGUGGACCACCAUUAUGUCUAAUCAACCGCCAUCUUAUACAGAAGCGAUAAAUACGCAAGGAGGGCCAAAUUAUGGAGCUAUGCCUGCGGGUGCUGCCCCACCUCAAGGUUAUCCUGCCGGUGCAUACCAAGGUCCAGGAGGACCACCACCUCAAGGUUACCCUGCUCCUGCAGGAGCAUAUCAAGGUCCUGGUGGAGCACCACACGGUUACCCUGCAGGAGCUGCAC